AGUCACUGGCUCCUAUGGCAAUACAACGCAGGCGGCCGCAGAGUAUAUAAUUCUAUGGCGCGGCGAGUGGACACCAGAUGUGUGCACUGCAUUCUCUGAAAGUGACGAGCAUCCAGUUAGUGAGGCAAUUGAUCAUGCUGAAGCUGUUGAAGAUCCAUUCUCCGACUCUGAUCGAAUAACGGGCGAGGACGCACCGCCGUCAGGAGAGGCCGUCUAAGGAAAGAAGACCUAGGAAGUGGGCGUGGCCUGCUGACGUAAUACAGCAGCGACUUCAGACUGGUCGGAGUUGAAGAGGGGAGUUGAGGACACCUCUAACAUAUUGCCUCGUUCACGGCCUCUUUCUGAUCUCAGCACCAGGGAUAGACGGACGUUGUACAUUCGCGUGUCAACUUAGUUACCCACAUUUUGUCAUUAGUAUUUAAAAUCAAUAAUUGUUGAAAAUUGUAUUUUGUAUUGUUCUAAUUAUAUAUUUUUUAAUAUUUUGA